rnacentral:rRNA from 1 species
UACGUAGGGUGCAAGCGUUGUCCGGAAUUAUUGGGCGUAAAGAGCUCGUAGGCGGUCUGUCGCGUCGGCUGUGAAAACCCGGAGCUCAACCCCGGGCCUGCAGUGGAUACGGGCAGGCUGGAGGCAGGCAGGGGAGAACGGAAUUCCCGGUGUAGCGGUGAAAUGCGCAGAUAUCGGGAGGAACACCAAUGGCGAAGGCAGCUCGCUGGGACGGUACUGACGCUGAGACGCGAAAGCGUGGGGAGCAAACAGG